UCGCAAUGAUGAGAGUGAUCCAAAACCAUUCGUAGUUUCCACCAGAGGCUUCAAAUCCAGUGAUGGCUAAACACCUUCCUUGGAUGUCUGAGCGA